CAACAGGUUUUUAUUUUGCAUGGACCAAUAACAAGCUGGGACUGUUACUGAAUGCAACACGGGAGUUAAAAGCAGCGGUGGUGGCGGAAAACAGACUGGGAGUUGUCGCAAAGUAAACAUGCACAGUAAGUGCAGGCUAGUUGCCCAACAGGUCCUUCACUUGAUGUGGAAGCUGGCUGUUUAUUUGAAUCAGCCAAGCAGUUCUUGGAAGAUGGUAACAUCUAGCAAAGUGUUCUUCCUCCACAGCCUCCAUCUCCAGGGAUAUUUCAGUGAUGUUCUACUUUGUUUCCAUCAGGUGGCUCUAACCUGACUGGACUUCACACCACGUCUUCCUGCCGCUCUGAGUCUUCUGUCUGUGCUGCAGUGACGGCCUUCAAGUCUGAGACCUUCUUACACACCAGACCAGAGUCUAACUGAUGGGAGAGACAAGAUUAGGCUCAAUAUAGACCUCUUUCAUGAAACCUGCAAAUAAUUAGAUUUGAUCAAUAUUUAUUUUAUUUAAAAGUAAAUAUACUUGCUGAAAUUACCAAAUAUAUUUCUGGUUUCUACUCAGCAAUUUUUGUGAGCAAUUUUGUAUUUGGUUUCGUGUUGACAGAAAAAAAAGGCAUCUACGUGUUCAGAAAAACAAUACACACCUUCAUUCUCUCAUUCGCUCACCUAGACCAAGACCUUAUGGUCUUUUCCUUUGUGAGACUGACACAGAGAGCUCUAAAGUAAGAAUAUUCCACCAACUGUGUAGUGAUAGAGUACAUGUUGGUUUCCACCGUAUCACCAGGAUUUUCUUUGCAGCAGUUAGGCUGGAAAGCCAAAUAGUUUUUUCAUGCACAUGUAACCCAUGUUAAUGUUACCUUAAAACCACUAAAAGGGAAAACAAAUAAAAAUGUGAUGUAAGCAAGCAAAUAAAAUUAGGCAUUAAAUCAGUAAUUUAAUGAGUGCAGCAGUAACAGCCAAUCAGAGUGACUCUAGCGCCGCUUGCUGGAGAGAGAGGAAAAACAGAGCGAGAGCAGUUGACCUUGAGAAGGAAACAACAGAGAAGUCUGAAACCGACCGAGAUGAAAGAGUAAAAAACAAGUUUUGAAGACUGUAAAACCUAAUUUCUUUUCCAUUUUUGGAGGAUUUUGUGUUGCUUUUAGUCCACAUUGAUGGAUUCUGUUUUUGGAUUUGCUGAGUGAAAACUACUAUUUACAACAUGUAAAUUAUGCAUUUCCUUGUUUUCUUUCGAGCUGAAUAUAACGUUAAGCCUAAGUGCCAGUAGCUAAACUAAAAAAAUGUGAAUUAUGUUGUGUAUUUUGUGGUUUUAUAUGUGUAAAAGAAUUGAAAAGCUACAUGCAUCAGGCACGGUCAAGUUUAGCCUGGUGAGAGAAUGGAGACGAACACCGCCACCAUUUUAGGGUGCGGUUCAGAUUUAAUUUAACGUUUAACCUGUGUUUAGGUGCUAGUCUUCCUCAGUUAAUUUUGUUGAAGAUAUAAAAGACUGAAAUGUGUGUAUUUCCCUGUUGUAACAGGCCAGGUUUUUUUGUUGUGAGGAGCUGCUUGGUGUUUAUGCACGUGAAGCCGGGAAAGAAGAUGGCGAACCACCCAUAGAAUAAACUGCGUCGGAUACGGGUCUGUUCCACAAGACCAACCUGUACUCGCGGGAUAAGGACACUGAUUCGUUCACCUGAAUCGUGGUAGGACUGAAACUUUAUUAUUUUGCUGCAGUGUGCUGUGAAGUUCAUCUGGACUUUUAAAGGACUUAACAAAAGGACUAAUUUAGAGUUGUGAGAUUGAGUUGUUGAUUAUAUGCUGAUCUGUGAAGCAGUGUUUCACAUUUGUAUUUUGUGGUAUUGUAAUUUCCCUUAUUUUGCCAAAUUGGUGAUGCAAAGUUUUUUUUGUUGCUGUAAACUAAAAAAACUUAACCCAAAAACUUAUUGGUUAAGUGAAGUAAAGAGAAGGUAGAAACGAAAACUCUUAAAACAGGCCUCACUAAGAUAAAAUGAGAACUUAGAGCUUCUGACGCCAGUGUCUUUUUUCAGUUCAUUGCAAUGGGAGCGUCCAUCACACCUUCUUCACUUUCCACAGCAUAUGAGACAAGUUAUUAUAACCGUGAAAUAGGGGACGUUUUGUCAACAGGGCCUGUCUCUCUGUGUCUCUCUCACCUCUAUUGUCUCUACAGGUUCAUUUGGUUCAGUGCUGGAGCUCAGAGUUUUCUUCUCCCUGGAUGGAGUCCAACAUCAACAAAUACUAAUUUUAACAUCAUGAAUUUCACAACACUAAAGUGAAGAAGUUUGAAGAAUGAAAGACUGAACUGAUGGAUUCUGACUGUUUUACGUCGUCCACAGAUUCAGGAGAAGCAGAGGAAUCAGCAUCAAGACCACCAGAGUCAACCUGAUGAUAUUCAUUAUUAUUGUUGAAUUCCCUAGAAGUACAGAAAGACAUGUGACAUCACUCAUUAGCAGGAUUAGAGUAAGGAUUAAUAAAUCACUUUGCCAGGUGA